rnacentral:rRNA from 1 species
AGGCAGCAGUGGGGAAUAUUGCACAAUGGGCGCAAGCCUGAUGCAGCCAUGCCGCGUGUAUGAAGAAGGCCUUCGGGUUGUAAAGUACUUUCAGCGAGGAGGAAGGCGUUAAGGUUAAUAACCUUGGUGAUUGACGUUACUCGCAGAAGAAGCACCGGCUAACUCCGUGCCAGCAGCCGCGGUAAUACGGAGGGUGCAAGCGUUAAUCGGAAUUACUGGGCGUAAAGCGCACGCAGGCGGUCUGUCAAGUCGG